GUGCAUUGUAGUUGCAUUGCGAGGAAUUUAAUUUUGCAAUGUCUCUGCAAUGUAAUCA
rnacentral:pre_miRNA from 1 species